rnacentral:rRNA from 1 species
CAUGCAAGUCGAACGGUAACAAGAUGUGCUUGCACAUCGAUGACGAGUGGCGGACGGGUGAGUAAUGCUUGGGAACUUGCCUUUGCGAGGGGGAUAACAGUUGGAAACGACUGCUAAUACCGCAUAAUGUCUUUGGACCAAACGGGGCUUCGGCUCCGGCGCAAAGAGAGGCCCAAGUGAGAUUAGCUAGUUGGUAAGGUAACGGCUUACCAAGGCGACGAUCUCUAGCUGUUCUGAGAGGAAGAUCAGCCACACUGGGACUGAGACACGGCCCAGACUCCUACGGGAGGCAGCAGUGGGGAAUAUUGCACAAUGGGGGAAACCCUGAUGCAGCCAUGCCGCGUGUGUGAAGAAGGCCUUCGGGUUGUAAAGCACUUUCAGUUGUGAGGAAAAGUUAGUAGUUAAUACCUGCUAGCCGUGACGUUAACAACAGAAGAAGCACCGGCUAACUCCGUGCCAGCAGCCGCGGUAAUACGGAGGGUGCGAGCGUUAAUCGGAAUUACUGGGCGUAAAGCGCACGCAGGCGGUUUGUUAAGCUAGAUGUGAAAGCCCCGGGCUCAACCUGGGAUGGUCAUUUAGAACUGGCAGACUAGAGUCUUGGAGAGGGGAGUGGAAUUCCAGGUGUAGCGGUGAAAUGCGUAGAUAUCUGGAGGAACAUCAGUGGCGAAGGCGACUCCCUGGCCAAAGACUGACGCUCAUGUGCGAAAGUGUGGGUAGCGAACAGGAUUAGAUACCCUGGUAGUCCACACCGUAAACGCUGUCUACUAGCUGUGUGUGCCUUUAAGGCGUGCGUAGCGAAGCUAACGCGCUAAGUAGACCGCCUGGGGAGUACGGCCGCAAGGUUAAAACUCAAAUGAAUUGACGGGGGCCCGCACAAGCGGUGGAGCAUGUGGUUUAAUUCGAUGCAACGCGAAGAACCUUACCUACACUUGACAUGCUGAGAAGUUACUAGAGAUAGUUUCGUGCCUUCGGGAACUCAGAACCAGGUGCUGCAUGGCUGUCGUCAGCUCGUGUCGUG